GACGUGUGAUCUUCCUGUCUCUAAAAUUAAUUUUUUUGGUAGAUAAAGUCAACCCUGCUCAGAACUUAGUAAACCUGAACGCAGCCA